rnacentral:rRNA from 1 species
GUGUCAGCCGCCGCGGUAAUACGAAGGGACCUAGCGUAGUUCGGAAUUACUGGGCUUAAAGAGUUCGUAGGUGGUUAAAAAAGUUGGUGGUGAAAUCCCAGAGCUUAACUCUGGAACUGCCAUCAAAACUUUUUAGCUAGAGUAUGAUAGAGGGAAGUAGAAUUUCUAGUGUAGAGGUGAAAUUCGUAGAUAUUAGAAAGAAUACCGAUUGCGAAGGCAGCUUUCUGGAUCAUUACUGACACUGAGGAACGAAAGCAUGGGUAGCGAAGAGGAUUAGAUACCCUCGUAGUCCAUGCCGUAAAACGAUGUGUGUUAGACGUUGGAAAUUUAUUUUCAGUGUCGCAGCGAAAGCAAUAAACACACCGCCUGGGGAGUACGACCGCAAGGUUAAAACUCAAAUGAAUUGACGGGGACCCGCACAAGUAGUGGAGCAUGUGGUUUAAUUCGAAGAUACGCGCAGAACCUUACCAACACUUGACAUGUUCGUCGCGACUCUAAGAGAUUAGAGUUUUCGGUUCGGCCGGACGAAACACAGGUGCUGCAUGGCUGUCGUCAGCUCGUGUCGUGAGAUGUUGGGUUAAGUCCCGCAACGAGCGCAACCCAUACUUUUAGUUGCCAUCAUUUAGUUGGGAACUCUAAAAGAACUGCCAGUGAUAAGCUGGAGGAAGGUGGGGAUGACGUCAAGUCCUCAUGGCCCUUAUGUGUUGGGCUACACACGUGCUACAAUGGCAUUUACAAAAGGAAGCAAGAUGGUGACAUUAAGCAAAUCCUAAAAAAAUGCCUCAGUUCGGAUUGUACUCUGCAACUCGAGUACAUGAAGCUGGAAUUACUAGUAAUCGCGGAUCAGCGUGCCGCGGUGAAUGCGUUCCCGGGUC